rnacentral:rRNA from 1 species
AGCGAACGCUGGCGGCAGGCCUAACACAUGCAAGUCGAGCGGCCGUAGCAAUACGGCAGCGGCAGACGGGAGAGUAACACGUGGGAACGCGCCCUUCGGUUCGGAAUAACUCAGGGAAACUUGGGCUAAUACCGGAUACGCCCUUACGGGGAAAGAUUUAUUGCCGAAGGAACGGCCCGCGUCCGAUUAGCUUGUUGGUGAGGUAACGGCUCACCAAGGCGACGAUCGGUAGCUGGUCUGAGAGGAUGACCAGCCUCACUGGGACUGAGACACGGCCCAGACUCCUACGGGAGGCAGCAGUGGGGAAUAUUGGACAAUGGGCGCAAGCCUGAUCCAGCCAUGCCGCGUGGGUGAUGAAGGCCCUAGGGUUGUAAAGCCCUUUCGGCGGGGAAGAUAAUGACGGUACCCGCAGAAGAAGCCCCGGCUAACUUCGUGCCAGCAGCCGCCGUAA